UUGUCUGAACCGCAUGGUUCAGACAUAAAAGGUGGCUUCGGCUACCACUUACAGAUGGACCCGCGGCGCAUUAGCUAGUUGGUGAGGUAACGGCUCACCAAGGCGACGAUGCGUAGCCGACCUGAGAGGGUGAUCGGCCACACUGGGACUGAGACACGGCCCAGACUCCUACGGGAGGCAGCAGUAGGGAAUCUUCCGCAAUGGACGAAAGUCUGACGGAGCAACGCCGCGUGAGUGAUGAAGGUUUUCGGAUCGUAAAGCUCUGUUGUUAGGGAAGAACAAGUGCCGUUCAAAUAGGGCGGCACCUUGACGGUACCUAACCAGAAAGCCACGGCUAACUACGUGCCAGCAGCCGCGGUAAUACGUAGGUGGCAAGCGUUGUCCGGAAUUAUUGGGCGUAAAGGGCUCGCAGGCGGUUUCUUAAGUCUGAUGUGAAAGCCCCCGGCUCAACCGGGGAGGGUCAUUGGAAACUGGGGAACUUGAGUGCAGAAGAGGAGAGUGGAAUUCCACGUGUAGCGGUGAAAUGCGUAGAGAUGUGGAGGAACACCAGUGGCGAAAGGCGACUCUCUGGUCUGUAACUGACGCU
rnacentral:rRNA from 1 species